GAGCGCUAGAUGGGUUUCCGGAGACCGG
rnacentral:sRNA from 1 species